CUACGGGGGGCAGCAGUGAGGAAUUUUGCGCAAUGGGGGAAACCCUGACGCAGCAACGCCGCGUGAGUGAUGAAGGCCUUCGGGUCGUAAAACUCUGUCAAGUGGGAAGAACCUAUGUAAGGUUAAUACCCUUAUGUACUGACGGUACCACUGAAGGAAGCACCGGCUAACUCCGUGCCAGCAGCCGCGGUAAUACGGAGGGUGCAAGCGUUAUUCGGAAUUAUUGGGCGUAAAGGGCGCGAAGGCGGUUUUGUAAGUCAGAUGUGAAAGCCCGGGGCUUAACCUCGGAAGUGCAUUUGAUACUGCAAGACUUGAGUAUGGGAGGGGGAAGUGGAAUUCCUGGUGUAGAGGUGAAAUUCGUAGAUAUCAGGAGGAACACCAGUGGCGAAGGCGACUUCCUGGACCAAUACUGACGCUGUGGCGCGAAGGCGUGGGGAGCAAACAGGAUUAGAUACCCUAGUAGUC
rnacentral:rRNA from 1 species